AAUUUUUGAUUUGGCUUUCCAUGUACCCAUACUGAUCAAUAUUUUCAUUGCUUUAUGAUCUGAAAAGGUUGCAUUUAUUAUUUCUGCUUUUCUGCAUUUGAGUGCCAUGUUUCUGUGACCUAGUGUAUGAUCUAUUUUUGUGAAUGUGCCGUGUGGUGCUGAGAGGAAGGUUUAUUCCUUUGUGUCCCUAUUUAUUUUUCUCCAUAUAUCUAUUAACUCUAAUUUUUCUAAGACUUCAUUCACCUCUUUUACUUCUUUCUUAUUUAUUUUUUGAUUUGAUUUUAUCUAAAUUUGAGAGUGGUUGGUUCAAGUCUCCCACUAAUAUGGUUUUACUGUCUAUUUCCUCCUUCAAUUCUCCUAGUUUCUCCAUUAAAAAUUUGCAUGCUAUACCAUUUGGUGCAUACAUGUUGAUUAGUGAUAUUUCCUCAUUGUCUAUACACCCUUUUAAGAGAAUCUAUUUACCUCCCCUAUCCCUUUUGAUCAGGUCUAUUUGUACUUUGGCUUUGUCAGAUAUCAUGAUUGCAACUCCUGCCUUCUUUCGAUCAGUUGAACCCCAAAAGGUCUUACUUCAUCCUUUAAUUCUAACCUUGAGAGUAUCAACCCGCCUCAUAUGUGUUUCUUGAAGACAACAAAUGCCUUGGCAGGAGUUGUCCCAUCACACGAGGGAACUGACAAAGGAUGGUCGGGGCAGAGUCUGAGGAGGCUUACUUCUCUUGUGGCCAAAGAAGAUACGUGAAGUCUAUGGAGGAUGACCCAAAGCAUCUGAUGGCAAGAAAAUCUGCUCAGAAAAAGGACAGACUGCAGAGGUGUCUGGCACAGGACACCAGAAAAACAGCACAUGCACUGUAAAGGCAACAACACGGCCUCAUAGGCAGGUCUAACACACUAUCCACAGAAAUGUACUUAUAUGAAAAACAAUUUAACUACAGAAGAAUAUCAUUGAGUCACUGACA